UAGGGAAUCUUCGGCAAUGGACGAAAGUCUGACCGAGCAACGCCGCGUGAGUGAAGAAGGUUUUCGGAUCGUAAAACUCUGUUGUUAGAGAAGAACAAGGACGUUAGUAACUGAACGUCCCCUGACGGUAUCUAACCAGAAAGCCACGGCUAACUACGUGCCAGCAGCCGCGGUAAUACGUAGGUGGCAAGCGUUGUCCGGAUUUAUUGGGCGUAAAGCGAGCGCAGGCGGUUUCUUAAGUCAGAUGUGAAAGCCCCCGGCUCAACCGGGGAGGGUCAUUGGAAACUGGGGGACUUGAGUGCAGAAGAGGAGAGUGGAAUUCCAUGUGUAGCGGUGAAAUGCGUAGAUAUAUGGGGGACCACCAGUGGCGAAGGCGGCUCUCUGGUCUGUAACUGACGCUGAGGCUCGAAAGCGUGGGGAGCAAACAGG
rnacentral:rRNA from 1 species